rnacentral:rRNA from 1 species
GAGUUUGAUCGUGGCUCAGGACGAACGCUGGCGGUGUGCUUCACACAUGCAAGUCGAACGGGGUAGCAAUACCCAGUGGUCGGACGGGUGAGUAACACGUGGGAAUCUACCAUAAGGUGGGGAAUAACAGGCCGAAAGGUCUGCUAAUGCCGCAUAUGUAGGCAUCUCGACAGAGGUGUUUAUGAAAGGAGUAAUCCGCCUUUUGAUGAGCCCGCGUCCGAUUAGCUAGUUGGUAGGGUAAAAG